UAGACGGAUUGAACUUAGCAGUGAACCAACGAGGGGUCAACUCACGCUUUACAACGGCGCCGAAUAGGGGAGUCCUACCGCCUAUUGUCUACGUGGGGCAGGAACUCUUUCUGGAGUUGUAUCCGGCACCUAAUUCCGGUGCAACUGAUCUGGCUGUAACAGGAUGUACAGCAUCUUCCCCUGGGUCUCCAGAUGUACUUCUUGUUUCCAACAGGUGUCCUGAUAAUUUUGGAACGAUUACAGUUUCCUUGACAAAAGAUGAUGGCACCAAAACAAUUUUUCUUCGCUUCAAGGUGUUCCAGUUCACAGGUUCCAACCAGCUAUCUAUAACAUGCAGUGUUGCUGCCUGUGGCACGUCUCCACCACUCCUACCCGUAGCUGUUUGCUCACCCACGACCAAUUGCGCAGCAGGUGGUGAUCCAGACAUCGGUAGGCGUAAGCGAGAACCGACGUAGACGACGAGAUCACAGUCACCAUCUCCAGAGAACUGGUCAUCGCUGCGACGCCGCAGGAAGCGGAGAUUCUGCUGCAAAAGGCCAGAGCGAUACAAAUACGACGACGGAAUCUUGUUUGUACAGCGUUGCCUUCAUCUCGGUGACGGCCGUCUGUGGCGUUCUUCUCGUUGUGGCUGUGGUAGCCCUCGUGCUCGUCUUCUUCCGUCUGCGUGCAGGCCGUGGAGCAGAAGAGAUAAAUCACCCAACCAAAGGCUAAAGCGUAUUCAUCUUUGACAACACGUGUUUGACUGAAGCAUUCAUAACAACAUAUUCGAUAUAUUUUUCUACUCGGUGAUGUUUUCGUUUGUCUUUUAGCUUUCGUGGUUGUCGUUAUAGUAAAGUAAAACAUUGAGUAAACUGAAAGCAUGUUUACAAAAAAUUGUUUUCUGGUACAGAAAUACUAAUUAGGGGUCGACGCUAGUAUCCAUGCGGGACACCUUGAAAUCGUUCGGAUUAUAAUUAUUGGGGGUUCAAGCCAUUCAGGCUUUUAGUAUUGUUAUAAUAUCAUUAUUAUUAUUAUUAUUCUAAUCAAAACUGUAACGCGUUUUCUAUAGAAAACUAUUAUCCCGAAGUUCAUAAAAUUUUAACAUGUUUGUCUGCGGGACUUGAAGCUGUACAUCGUAACUUUUGGGCAGAAAUGCGUGAUUAGGAACGCGACUGACCCGGAGAUGUGGUCUUACGAGCAAAGAUAUGGGUGUCCUCAGUCACGUGACCUGGCGGCCAUAUAGCUUGAUCUGAAAACGUUUGAGUCACUUUCUCCAGAAGCCCUUGUCAGAUUGACCUAAACAAGAUUUCAGUGGAGACUAUGUGGAAAAACAGAAAACAAUGUUUAUGCAAAUUAGAUUUUAGUUGAUACAGCGGAAAUGAUAUCACCUUAUGGGGGGGGGAUAAAUUUCAAUAUUCUAAAUAUGCUGCCUGAAGGAGAUUGAUGUCCUGAUCACGAAUGUGUGGUCCUAUUUUUUCCUGUAAGGUGUGUACUUAUGUCGCAAAUUACAAUCAAAAAUCGAAAGUUUUCCUCCAUAUUUGUAGAUCACGUGACAGAAAACUGAUACAGCUGUUAAGUUCAAAUUGCUGGGUCGAAGGGACUAUAUAUGUACUGUAUGUAUGCUGAAAAUCUUUGAGCUGUCCUAAUAAAUACACGCUGUACAGGGCUUCAAAUUUCACAAAAGGCCGAUUUACUAUAUUUUGGCAUAUUUACGAGUGUAUGGUGUAUAAUGCAUAUACCAUGUCUUGGAUGAAAGCAGAAAAACUGUAUGUAUGUCACUUGACGUAGUUUGAUGUCCUGAUCACGAAUCCGGUCUUCUGUUUCCUGAUGUGUAUACUUUUGUCCUAAAUUGCGAUCAAACUGCGCAAAAACUCAAUAUCCCAAACUAUAUUUGCAGAAAACUGUUAUAAUUGUAAACCUUAAAAUUGCGGUGUUAUAAGGGCUAUGUACGUAAUAUAUGUAUGCUGAAAAUCGUUGUGCUGUGUUAAAAAAAUGCACGCCUUCAAAUAUAGUCCACAGGCCGGACUGACUACAUUCGAUACAUUUAUAUGCCCUACCCAUACGAUAACAAUUUUUUAGUUUGGUAUGCAAAUAAGGCCAAAACUGACCAAUGAACUUGGCUGAAAGGUGGGUCAAUUUUUAAAACUGCUUAAAAUCAUUAAACAAACCCAUUCCCUGGUGCCCAUUUACGCCACAAUUACAAAUCGUCACAAUUACAAAUCUGGAAGAAUUGUUUAUGUACUGAUGGAAACGGGCAUCAGCUCUGCAACAUUCUGUCUUUUGUCCUUGGCUAUCAGCAGAAGAGCCGCCUAAUUUCUAUGCUUGUCUUCAGUUCUUGGUCAGCUAUAAAUGAUGUCUAACAGUCUAGAGUUCCAGUACAUUGCUUUCCUUUUUUUCGCGUUUUCACCCCGUUAUCAUGAACUGUAUAGACACCAGGCUACUAAAAGUGAUAAAAGAUUAGUGGCGUGAACCCCGGCAACGCUGUUGGACAACAGCUUUAAUUAUUUCUUGUUUUUGUCAUUUAUCACUGUCUCUUCUAUUUAACAGCUAUUAUCAACAUUUACUCAAAAUUUUAUCACUGGUAUAAUGUGAGUUAGUUUCACACAUUUAUGCAGAAAUCUCGUUUCAUACCUUGUACCUUAAAGCUAUAUGUGAUUUUGUACCACCGUGCAUCGCAAAAUGGCAGAAAUAUGUUACCGUUGUGCAAAGAUGGCAGAAUAAGUAACAUAUCCUAGCCUGUAACAACGUGGUAGUCUUCACUUUCAUGAACAGCAAUCAUAAUAUCAUCGGUUAAAAUGACCCAGGAGACUUUCACCAGUGCGAGCCCAGUUUAAAUUGGCUGCCUUUCUGGCCGCACACGGCAAAGUUGUGAGUUUCCCAGGGCUCUGCACGGUUUCCUCCCCCAUAAUGCUGGCACCAUCGUAUAAGUGAAAUAUUCUUGAGUACGACGUAAAAGACCAAUCGAAUAAAAAUAAAU